rfam:TPA: Bos taurus chromosome 11, whole genome shotgun sequence.
UGGCUCAGAGGUUAAAGUGUCUGCCUGCAAUGCGGAAGACCUAGGUUCGAUCCCUGG